rnacentral:rRNA from 1 species
CCUACGGGGCGCAGCAGUCGAGAAUCAUUCACAAUGGGGGAAACCCUGAUGGUGCGACGCCGCGUGGGGGAUUGAAGGUCUUCGGAUUGUAAACUCCUUUUGUUAGAGAAGAUAAUGACGGUAUCUAACGAAUAAGCACCGGCUAACUCCGUGCCAGCAGCCGCGGUAAUACGGAGGGUGCAAGCGUUACUCGGAAUCACUGGGCGUAAAGAGCGCGUAGGCGGGAUAGCAAGUCAGAUGUGAAAUCCUAUGGCUUAACCAUAGAACUGCAUUUGAAACUGUUAUUCUAGAGUAUGGGAGAGGUAGGUGGAAUUCUUGGUGUAGGGGUAAAAUGCGUAGAGAUCAAGAGGAAUACUCAUUGCGAAGGCGACCUGCUAGAACAUAACUGACGCUGAUGCGCGAAAGCGUGGGGAGCAAACAGGAUUAGAUACCCUUGUAGUC